rnacentral:rRNA from 1 species
AGAGUUUGAUUCUGGCUCAGGACGAACGCUGGCGGCGUGCCUAACCCAUGCAAGUCGAACGGGGCGGCGGACUUCGGUCCAAAGCCUAGUGGCGGACGGGUGAGUAAUGCGUGAACAACCAACCUUAUACAGGGGGACAACAGCUGGAAACGGCUGCUAAUACCGCAUAAGACCACAGGACCGCAUGGUCCAGGGGUCAAAGGAGCAAUCCGGUAUAAGACGGGUUCGCGUUCCAUUAGCUAGUUGGUGGGGUAACGGCCUACCAAGGCUGCGAUGGAUAGCCGAGCUGAGAGGCUGAUCGGCCACACUGGGACUGAGAUACGGCCCAG